ACGAACGCUGGCGGCGUGCCUAAUACAUGCAAGUCGAACGCUUCUUUCCUCCCGAGUGCUUGCACUCAAUUGGAAAGAGGCGUGGCGGACGGGUGAGUAACACGUGGGUAACCUACCCAUCAGAGGGGGAUAACACUUGGAAACAGGUGCUAAUACCGCAUAACAGUUUAUGCCGCAUGGCAUAAGAGUGAAAGGCGCUUUCGGGUGUCGUUGAUGGAUGGACCCGCGGUGCAUUAGCUAGUUGGUGAGGUAACGGCUCACCAAGGCCACGAUGCAUAGCCGACCUGAGAGGGUGAUCGGCCACACUGGGACUGAGACACGGCCCAGACUCCUACGGGAGGCAGCAGUAGGGAAUCUUCGGCAAUGGACGAAAGUCUGACCGAGCAACGCCGCGUGAGUGAAGAAGGUUUUCGGAUCGUAAAACUCUGUUGUUAGAGAAGAACAAGGACGUUAGUAACUGAACGUCCCCUGACGGUAUCUAACCAGAAAGCCACGGCUAACUACGUG
rnacentral:rRNA from 1 species